GGCCGCCUGGCCCAAUGGUCAAGGCGCCUGCCUACGAUCCGAAAUCGCGAGCAGGAGACUCCAGGUUCGAGUCCUGGGGCGGUCG
rfam:Puccinia triticina 1-1 BBBD Race 1 supercont2.20, whole genome shotgun sequence.